GUUUUAAGAUCUGUACCUCUUGCAGUUCUCCAAUUCAAGACAGUCAUGAAGGUGGUGGUGAUUUCCUUGGUCAUACUCUUGGUUAUGGCAUCCCAGCCCAUAGUGGAAGGAGAUGGAGGAGUGGACUGCCAAAGCGCUAAGGACUGCCCGGCUGCUUCUACUCCAGGAUGCAGGUUGGCAGGUUGUAUUGAUCGGAAGUGCAUUUGGGUGUGCGAUGUGAAAGAAGCAGCAACAGAAGCCAUCCAUAAGGGGCUUACUGGUUAAAGUUUGAUUAACCGAGCAUUGCAGCAUAAAAUUUUAACCUCCCCCCCUUUUUUUUAUUUUUCUAGUUUGUGAUGGUCCUUGUUUGGAAUUGGAAAAUAAUGAUCUAAUAAUUUUAUCAUUA